rnacentral:rRNA from 1 species
CCCUUAGAUGUUCUGGGCCGCACGCGCGCUACACUGAUUCAUGCAACAAGUUUUGUCCUUGGCUGAUAGGCCUGGGUAAUCUUUGAACGUGAAUCGUGAUGGGGAUAGAUGAUUGCAAUUAUUCAUCUUCAACGAGGAAUUCCUAGUAAACGCAAGUCAUCAGCUUGCAUUGAUUACGUCCCUGCCCUUUGUACACACCGCCCGUCGCACCUACCGAUUGAAUGGUCCGGUGAAAUCUCGGGACGGCGGCUCGGUCGCUUGCGUCCGACUGCUGAAACUUGAUUAAACCAUAUCAUUUAGAGGAAGGUGAAGUCGUAACA